AUUGAACGCUGGCGACAUGCCUUACACAUGCAAGUCGAACGGCAGCACGGGUGCUUGCCCCUGGUGGCGAGUGGCGAACGGGUGAGUAAUACAUCGGAACAUGUCCUGUAGUGGGGGAUAGCCCGGCGAAAGCCGGAUUAAUACCGCAUACGAUCUACGGAUGACAGCGGGGGACCUUCGGGCCUCGCGCUAUAGGGUUGGCCGAUGGCUGAUUAGCUAGUUGGUGGGGUAAAGGCCUACCAAGGCGACGAUCAGUAGCUGGUCUGAGAGGACGACCAGUCACACUGGGACUGAGACACGGCCCAGACUCCUACGGGAGGCAGCAGUGGGGAAUUUUGGACAAUGGGCGAAAGCCUGAUCCAGCAAUGCCGCGUGUGUGAAGAAGGCCUUCGGGUUGUAAAGCACUUUUGUCCGGAAAGAAAUCCUUGGCCCUAAUACGGUCGGGGGAUGACGGUACCGGAAGAAUAAGCACCGGCUAACUACGUG
rnacentral:rRNA from 1 species